GAUGAACGCUGGCGGCGUGCCUAAUACAUGCAAGUCGAGCGAACAGACGAGGAGCUUGCUCCUCUGACGUUAGCGGCGGACGGGUGAGUAACACGUGGAUAACCUACCUAUAAGACUGGGAUAACUUCGGGAAACCGGAGCUAAUACCGGAUAAUAUAUUGAACCGCAUGGUUCAAUAGUGAAAUACGGUUUUGCUGUCACUUCUAGAUGGAUCCGCGCCGCAUUAGCUAGUUGGUAAGUUAACGGCUUACCAAGGCGACGAUGCGUAGCCGAGCUGAGAGGGGGAUGGGCGCCUCUGGAACUGAGACGCGAUCCAGACUCCUACGGGAGGCAGCAGUAGGGAAUCUUCCGCAAUGGGCGAAAGCCUGACGGAGCAACGCCGCGUGAGUGAUGAAAGUCUUCGGAUCGUAAAACUCUGUUAUUAGGGAAGAACAAAUGUGUAAGUAACUAUGCACGUCUUGACGGUACCUAAACAGAAAGCCACGGCUAACUACGU
rnacentral:rRNA from 1 species